rnacentral:lncRNA from 1 species
GGCUGUUCAGGAGCUGUUUGAGUGGUGUAUGUUGCUGGUUCAGCGAGUGCAACAACUUCUGGUUCAGUGGUGUCAAUUUCUGAGGUUGCUGGUGUUUGGACAGCAACAAGGGAUGUAAUGGUGGCAGAUUCAGCACUUGCUGAUUUUUGGACAGCAGGUUCAGCAAUUGCUGAUGUAAUUGUGGAAUUUUCAGCAGGUGGACAGCAACUGUUGUCUCUAUUUGCAGUAGGUUGGACAGGCAGAUUUCCAGCUUGAAUUUCAGCUUCUUCACGU